UACAACAUAGCAUUAAUUUAUUGGAUCCCAUUAGAACUCCGCAGUUAAGCGUGCUUGAGAUAGAGUAGUAUUGUGAUGGGUGACUGCUCAGGAAGUCCUAGUGUUUUAC
rnacentral:rRNA from 1 species